UACGGAGGGUGCAAGCGUUAUCCGGAUUUACUGGGUUUAAAGGGUGCGCAGGCGGAUAUGUAAGUUAGAGGUGAAAGCCCGGGGCUCAACUCCGGAAUUGCCUUUAAGACUGCAUCGCUAGAAUUGUGGAGAGGUAAGUGGAAUUCCGAGUGUAGAGGUGAAAUUCGUAGAUAUUCGGAAGAACACCAGUGGCGAAGGCGACUUACUGGACACAUAUUGACGCUGAGGUGCGAAAGCGUGGGGAGCAAACAGG
rnacentral:rRNA from 1 species